rnacentral:rRNA from 1 species
UCGGGAAUUUUGGGCAAUGGGCGAAAGCCUGACGCAGCAACGCCGUGUGUAGGAUGAAGCAUCUAGGUGCGUAAACUACUGUCAGCAGGGAAUAAAUUGACUGUACCUGCAGAGGAAGCACCGGCUAACUACGUGCCAGCAGCCGCGGUAAGACGUAGGGUGCAAGCGUUGUCCGGAAUUAUUGGGCGUAAAGGGCGCGUAGGUUGUUAUACAAGUCAGAUGUGAAAGCCCUGGGCUUAACCUGGGAAUGGCAUUUGAAACUGUAAGACUAGAGUGAAGUAGAGGGUAGCGGAAUUUCCGGUGUAGCGGUGAAAUGCGUAGAUAUCGGAAGGAACACCAGUGGCGAAGGCGGCUACCUGGACUUCAACUGACACUGAGGCGCGAAAGCGUGGGUAGCGAACAGGAUUAGAUACCCCCGUAGUCCCUGAGCGGGCUGGCAAGGCGCAU